rnacentral:rRNA from 1 species
UACGAAGGGGGGCUAGCGUUGUUCGGAAUCACUGGGCGUAAAGCGCACGUAGGCGGAUCUUUAAGUCAGGGGUGAAAUCCCGGGGCUCAACCUCGGAACUGCCUUUGAUACUGGGGAUCUCGAGUCCGGGAGAGGUGAGUGGAAUUGCGAGUGUAGAGGUGAAAUUCGUAGAUAUUCGCAAGAACACCAGUGGCGAAGGCGGCUCACUGGCCCGGUACUGACGCUGAGGUGCGAAAGCGUGGGGGAGCAAACAGG